GCCGAUGUGGCUCAGGGGUUAGAGCGCUGCGCUCAUAACGCAGAGGUCGGGGGUUCAAAUGCGCAGAUUGCAUUUGUAAAUGACAUUUGACAGGCUUGUCCUGUCUUGCGCUGAUCUUCCCCCCAUCGGCA
rnacentral:tRNA from 1 species